ACGGGUGAGGAAUACGUCGGAAUCUGCCUAUUUGUGGGGGAUAACGUAGGGAAACUUACGCUAAUACCGCAUACGACCUACGGGUGAAAGCGGAGGACCUUCGGGCUUCGCGCAGAUAGAUGAGCCGACGUCGGAUUAGCUAGUUGGCGGGGUAAAGGCCCACCAAGGCGACGAUCCGUAGCUGGUCUGAGAGGAUGAUCAGCCACACUGGAACUGAGACACGGUCCAGACUCCUACGGGAGGCAGCAGUGGGGAAUAUUGGACAAUGGGCGCAAGCCUGAUCCAGCCAUGCCGCGUGUGUGAAGAAGGCCUUCGGGUUGUAAAGCACUUUUGUCCGGAAAGAAAAGCAUUGGGUUAAUACCCCGAUGUCAUGACGGUACCGGAAGAAUAAGCACCGGCUAACUUCGUGCCAGCAGCCGCGGUAAUACGAAGGGUGCAAGCGUUACUCGGAAUUACUGGGCGUAAAGCGUGCGUAGGUGGUUUGUUAAGUCUGAUGUGAAAGCCCUGGGCUCAACCUGGGAAUGGCAUUGGAAACUGGCUGACUAGAGUGCGGUAGAGGGUAGUGGAAUUCCCGGUGUAGC
rnacentral:rRNA from 4 species